UUUCAUUGGAACCGUCCUUAGAAACUGAGUUCCGUGUAUGUAAUCCAAGACUAGAUACUACCACACGUUGGGAUACUUAAUUGACCCUCUCGACUUAUUAAUCGCUUAGUACUCGGUCCAGGAGUUGCAAGUAGUUUUUGGUGUUUAUAGUCAUGCUGGAGGCCGUGCAUGGUGCUGACCUGAGAGGUGGGCUGUGAUGCGGUAGGCAGUGGCACGGUGUACCAAGUGGCACCCGGAUGGUGGGCUUGGGAACCCUGCGCACAUCGUUUGAGGCCGUGG
rnacentral:lncRNA from 1 species